rnacentral:rRNA from 1 species
CCUGUUUAACAAAAACAUGUCUUUUUGAGUUAUUUUUAAAGUCUGACCUGCCCACUGAAAUUUUUAAAUGGCCGCAGUAUUUUAACUGUGCAAAGGUAGCAUAAUCAUUAGUCUUUUAAUUGAAGGCUGGUAUGAACGGUUGGACGAGGUAUAAGCUGUUUCAUAUAAAUUUAUAAUAGAAUUUUAUAUUUUAGUCAAAAAGCUAAAAUAUUAUUAAAAGACGAGAAGACCCUAUAAAUCUUUAUAUUUUAUUUUAUUUAAAUUUUUUGGAUUUUGUUUAUUUUUAUAAUUUUGAAUAUUUUGUUGGGGUGAUGUUAAAAUUUAAUGAACUUUUAAUUUUUUAAAAUCAUUAAUUUAUGAAUUAUUGAUCCAUUAUUAGUGAUUAUAAGAUUAAGUUACUUUAGGGAUAACAGCGUAAUUUUUUUGGAGAGUUCAUAUCGAUAAAAAAGUUUGCGACCUCGAUGUUGGAUUAAGAUAUAUUUUUAGGUGUAGCCGCUUAAAU